GACGAACGCUGGCGGCGUGCUUAACACAUGCAAGUCGAGCGGUAAGGCCCUUUGGGGUACACGAGCGGCGAGCGGGUGAGUAACACGUGAGUAAUCUGCCUUUGGCUUGGGAAUAACUUCGGGAAAUCGGGGCUAAUGCCUGAUGUUUACUGUCUGCUGCAUGGUGGGUGGCGGAAAGGUUUUUUGGCCAGGGAUGAGCUCGCGGUCUAUCAGCUUGUUGGUGGGGUAAUGGCUACCAAGGCUUUGACGGGGUAGCCGGCCUGAGAGGGUGUUCGGCCACACUGGGACUGAGACACGGCCCAGACUCCUACGGGAGGCAGCAGUGGGGAAUAUUGCGCAAUGGGCGUAAGCCUGACGCAGCGACGCCCG
rnacentral:rRNA from 1 species